rnacentral:rRNA from 1 species
AGUCGAACGAGCGAGAGAGAGCUUGCUUUCUCGAGCGAGUGGCGAACGGGUGAGUAACGCGUGAGGAACCUGCCUCAAAGAGGGGGACAACAGUUGGAAACGACUGCUAAUACCGCAUAAGCCCACAGCUCGGCAUCGAGCAGAGGGAAAAGGAGCAAUCCGCUUUGAGAUGGCCUCGCGUCCGAUUAGCUAGUUGGUGAGGUAAUGGCCCACCAAGGCGACGAUCGGUAGCCGGACUGAGAGGUUGAACGGCCACAUUGGGACUGAGACACGGCCCAGACUCCUACGGGAGGCAGCAGUGGGGAAUAUUGCACAAUGGGGGAAACCCUGAUGCAGCGACGCCGCGUGGAGGAAGAAGGUCUUCGGAUUGUAAACUCCUGUUGUUGAGGAAGAUAAUGACGGUACUCAACAAGGAAGUGACGGCUAACUACGUGCCAGCAGCCGCGGUAAAACGUAGGUCACAAGCGUUGUCCGGAAUUACUGGGUGUAAAGGGAGCGCAGGCGGGAAGACAAGUUGGAAGUGAAAUCCAUGGGCUCAACCCAUGAACUGCUUUCAAAACUGUUUUUCUUGAGUAGUGCAGAGGUAGGCGGAAUUCCCGGUGUAGCGGUGGAAUGCGUAGAUAUCGGGAGGAACACCAGUGGCGAAGGCGGCCUACUGGGCACCAACUGACGCUGAGGCUCGAAAGUGUGGGUAGCAAACAGGAUUAGAUACCCUGGUAGUCCACACUGUAAACGAUGAUUACUAGGUGUUGGAGGAUUGACCCCUUCAGUGCCGCAGUUAACACAAUAAGUAAUCCACCUGGGGAGUACGACCGCAAGGUUGAAACUCAA